UGGCUCAGAGGUUAAAGUGUCUGCCUCCAAUGCAGGAGACCCGGGUUCAAUCCCUGG
rfam:TPA: Bos taurus chromosome 2, whole genome shotgun sequence.